AGUGAACGCUGGCGGUAGGCCUAACACAUGCAAGUCGAACGGCAGCACAGUAAGAGCUUGCUCUUACGGGUGGCGAGUGGCGGACGGGUGAGGAAUACAUCGGAAUCUACUUUUUCGUGGGGGAUAACGUAGGGAAACUUACGCUAAUACCGCAUACGACCUACGGGUGAAAGCAGGGGAUCUUCGGACCUUGCGCGAUUGAAUGAGCCGAUGUCGGAUUAGCUAGUUGGCGGGGUAAAGGCCCACCAAGGCGACGAUCCGUAGCUGGUCUGAGAGGAUGAUCAGCCACACUGGAACUGAGACACGGUCCAGACUGCUACGGGAGGCAGCAGUGGGGAAUAUUGGACAAUGGGCGCAAGCCUGAUCCAGCCAUACCGCGUGGGUGAAGAAGGCCUUCGGGUUGUAAAGCCCUUUUGUUGGGAAAGAAAAGCAGCAGGUUAAUACCCCGCUGUUCUGACGGUACCCAAAGAAUAAGCACAGGCUAACUUCGUG
rnacentral:rRNA from 1 species